rnacentral:rRNA from 1 species
CCUACGGGGGGCAGCAGUGAGGAAUAUUGGUCAAUGGGCGGGAGCCUGAACCAGCCAAGUCGCGUGAAGGAAGAAGGUACUUAGUAUUGUAAACUUCUUUUGUCGGGGAACAAAGGCGGAGACGCGUCUCCGGCUGAGUGUACCCUAAGAAAAAGCAUCGGCUAACUCCGUGCCAGCAGCCGCGGUAAUACGGAGGAUGCGAGCGUUAUCCGGAUUUAUUGGGUUUAAAGGGUGCGCAGGCGGGAGAUCAAGUCAGUGGUAAAAUGUCGGGGCUCAACCCCGGCCGGCCGUUGAAACUGGUUGUCUAGAGUUGGAGAGAAGUAGGCGGAAUUCGUGGUGUAGCGGUGAAAUGCAUAGAUAGCACGAAGAACUCCGAUUGCGAAGGCAGCAUACCGGCUCCAGACUGACGCUGAGGCACGAAAGCGUGGGGAUCGAACAGGAUUAGAUACCCUUGUAGUC